rnacentral:sRNA from 1 species
AUGGAGCACACAGCCACCACAGGCCCCAGGCCUGGACCUCCCCCUCGGCGGGUGGAGAAUGUUGUGCUACCAGCCAAGGACUGGCUGCCAGGACCUCCUGGGGGCACCGCAGUGUGGGCCACCAGCUCGGAAGCAGAGGUCCCACCAGAUCUAGCGCUCAAUAAGGAGCAGCAGUUGCAGAUCUCCAAGGAGCUGGUCGACAUUCAGAUCACAACCCACCACCUACAGGAGCAGCACGAGGCUGAAAUCUUCCAGCUGAAGAGUGAGAUCCUUUGGCUGGAGAGCCGAGUGCUGGAGCUGGAGCUGCAUGGAGAUCCCACCAGCCAGGGCUGUGCAGUCCCAGUGGAGUCUGACCCCAGGCACCCCCGGGCACCAGCCCAAGAGCUCAGACACAAAGCCCGGGUGCAGCCCAAGAACGCCGUGAACCCCGAGAACGAGCAGCACAGCCUGGGGAGCGGCGUGAGUGUGCAGCCACCUAGCUCAGGGGAGAGGGCAGCACCAGAGACCCCAAGCCUACGGUCUCAUCCAGCCAGCCCUGUGUGCCCCACAGCUGCUGGGGGGCCAGGAGCAGCUGCAGGGAGAAGUGAAGUGGGCGCUGGAGCGUCAAGAGGCCCGGCAGCAGGCACUGGAGAUGCGUGUGUGAGUGGCCAUCUCACCUGGGGCCCCAUCCCGGAGCAGAGAGAACUCCUCAUCGUGGGCCUGCUGAGCCUUGCCCCCGUGUCUUCAGGGCAGCCCUGGGCCGGCAGCUGCAGGGAGCCCGAGAGGAGGCCAGGGCAGCCGGGCAGCGACUAGCCACACAGGCUGUGGUGA